UGCGGCGUAGCUCAGUGGCAGAGCGCCGGGCUCAUACCCCGGAUGGUGCAGGCUCGAGCCCUGCCGCUGCAACCA
rnacentral:tRNA from 1 species